AGGCCCAUUGCAUCCAUAAAUUUCUUAUGAGCCUAAGCUCUAAUGUGUGAAUUUUAAGUAUCUCGAAUGCCGUAAUCGUGAAAAGCAUUUGAGGGUAGAUUAGCGGCGGAUGGUUAUCCACCUCUAAAUUAAAGCAUUUAUUUUGAAUAGAGAUAUACUAUAGAAAAUCCAAUUCACAAGAUAAUAAAUAGUCUGAUCGAAGAAUGAGUUAAGACAGACAGAGAAAUUGACUACUCUUUUGACGUUGUUGAUCAGCGCUUGCUUCGGAUACCAAAAUUAUUUUGAGGCGCGCCCUUCUGAUAGAACUGAAACCACAUAUUAGCAUUAACCACGAGAAUCUGAGUACAAAGUGUACCACACAAAAGACACCAUGCAAAGCCAAAAGAGAGACAUUGAGACCGCACACGCAACAACACAAAUUCUUCGUUUUACUUUAGUAGCUGUGGCGACUACUUCUUGCGCAGGUCGCGGAAGUAGGACGCUGUGUUCUUCUCGAAGUCGUCCCGGAAGAUGCGCGUGUCCCUCCCAGGAGCUUUCAUGGUCCUUCUUCCGCUGGACCCGGACGAGUCGCCCAUCAGACUCGCCACGCCCAUGCCAAUGGCCAAGAUCGCCAAGCCGGCGAUCACUCCCGCAGCCGUGGUAGCGCCACUGCUUUUGCUCUCGCUCCCUCCCAUAGGGGUUCUGAUCGAUAUCAAUAUGCCUUCGGAAAUGAUAAUCUAUGAGGUCUAUCCAGCGUUCUAUGUGACUUGUUGCUUUUGGGAAGGAGUUUUUGGGUCAAUUUAUAGGGGGCUCUGGUGGGUUUGAAGUUUGGACUUGGAGUAGUCCAUUUACUCAAUGCUCUCUCUCUCUCUCUCUCUCUCUCUCUCUCUCUCUCUGUGCAAGAUGUAUGAAUCUUUCUCUCUCUCUCUGUCUGUGCAAGAUGUAUGAAUCUUUCACUGCUUAUAUUUCAGAGAUCAAAUUUCAAAUGAAAUCCCCGAUUCCCCACUCACCUCUUCAACUUUAACAUGAAAGCUGCGUAGCAUAGACUCUAUAAAGCUAUUCAAGUUGGAGGGAAUGUUUAAAAGUAGGUCGUUUUUUUAAAGGCGCUUCCGGGUUCUCACUAAUCUCAAAAGUAUUGUGUUAAAGAAGCAAUUCACUUCAAUUGGUAAAUUCGUUCCACUAAGGCCACUAAGUGUGAGAAGUCAACAGUCACGAGACUUCAGGCAUAAUUCUUGUAAAAGCAAAAAGAAAAAAAAAAAACUCUAACUUUAGACCUUAUCUCAAUAAUAUUGCCUAAACUUUUUUUUAUCUAAAAAGAAACCCAACUUUAAGUCCAAUCCCUAAUAUACCCCGAUUUCUUUUUUGUCGAAGAGAAAAUCAUCAAUUUUUACUCUAUUCCUAAUUCCUAAAUCUGCCCCUAGUAACUCUCUAUUCAAAAAUUGCAAUAAAUUGUCCCAAAUUUUCAUAUUCUAAAACGGUUUGAUUGUGAAUAUAAUUUUCCAAUUGAUGUGGAUGUAUUUUCAACGUGAAACCGCCACAUCAAGUUAGGACUAGACCAUGAGAAUAGAUUUGAGAAUAAGUUAAAGGUUUGUGAUUUUUUUUAAGACAAAACAAAAUUUAGGACAAAUUUGAAAUCAAAGCUAAAGUUUUGAGGUUUUUCGGAGACAAGAAAAAACUCAUGAUAGUUUUGGCACUUAAAAUUUGGGAUGGUUCUUAUGCUUGGGGGGGGGGGGGGGGGGGUUGGUGUGGUUUGUAAGGGAGAGUCCAAAACUGCAAACUGCAACAAGGAUAGCAAGUUCACUCCAGACACUAUACAUCAGCAAUUGAAAAGCACCCACAGGAGUGGGAAAACAUGCAUAUUUACAAAUAUUAUCGAUCCAACAUCUAGUAAACAACCACGAUGGAAAGUUCCUCCAAGUCUUUGAUCAUGUUGGUUUCUGCAGAUCCUCCUCAUCCUCCUCAUCCUGCAGAUUUCCAUCGAUUAGUUGCCAUCAAGAAUCAAAGUCCGGGGAAAGAUCGUUGACCGAAAGAAAAACCACAUUUCGACGGGAAAGGAAGCUGAGAUACCAAGAUAGACUUACCAGACUGUCGAUCUUAUUAAAAUCAUCAGCAAAGCUCCCUUCACCAUCAUCCAGAAGACCAGAAAAAAGGUUAACAAAUGAAUGAUUGCGUAUGGAUCUAUUAGAAGACUUGCACAACAAAUUCACCAACACAUCUGCACUCCCCCUUAGAUGGACAAGCAGCUUAGAUAAAUAUAUGAACAUAUAAACAUUUGCAUAUGUCAGCAUGGAGGGGGUGGGAGCUCCUGCCACGCUCUAUAUAGAGCAUCAACCCACGCUACACGCAUGUUUCCUACACUACGAACAUUUGCAUACGUCAGCAUGGCGGGGGUGGGGGCUCAUGCCUCUCUCUCUCUCUCCUCCCACAUUCGCAGUCGAAUACAUGUAAAUUUGUGAGAAUAACCAUAUAUAAAAAUCAACAGUACAUCCACGCAUUAUAUUGGUCCCAUGAGUGGGCGUACCUAUGAUGAGUAGCUUGAUUCUGUAUCGACAUUUACUAAGGCAUCGUUAACCAGCUCAAGUGAACAAGCUACAAACCCGAAUAUUAAGAAAGAAAUGCUGUAAAACACAGUCAAUCGGCUAGCCCAAUCAGCCGAGUCCAGAUCUGCAUUUGGUGUGUUCAAUAAAACUCAUAUAGAACCCUGACUGAAGUGGGACUUAAUAAAUCUGAAUCAGCCAAGUUUGUGAAGGUUUAACACUCGAUCGGUGUUUACAGAUGAAAAAGAACAUCAAGGCGCUGUGGGUGAGUCGCCAACUUUAUAUGUCAGCAUUACAGGCAACACUUGCCAUACGCUGACCAUUUGAGGCACAACACUUAGUUUUCUUAUGUUUGCGAAUCUCUACUAAUUGUAAAACAGAUCUGGCAGCUGAACUGGUUGGACAGAUCGACAUCACUUAAGCAUUUAGCGUAUUGACCCACUUAUGAAGUGAUUUACUUUUAAGGGAAUUGAGCACGCUAAAACAAUCAUCUCCUUGCAAUAAAAUUGUUUAAUGGGUCUUUUAUCAAGUUCAUUCUGUUUGCAUAAAAAGAAGAGAGAGGCGUGCCACUGUUUGAGACCAAUUAUAUGUCCCGGGGAAAAAAAUACAACUAUCUUUAGCUUCUUAGACCUUAAAACACAAAAUGAAGGAUAGAAGAUUUCUUUCGCAUUUCCAAUCAAUACUCUUGUAGGGAUACUCUGCAGCGGGACACAUUUAACAACAUAAAAUAUUUCAUAACCUUUAGCAAUGUACGGAGACUAGAUGUCUGAGUUCAAAACACAAAGGCUUUCAAGGCAACGCAAUAAACAACCUAAAAAAAAGAGAAAAAAGAAAAGUCUACGGCGAGAUUCAAUCAUCCCUGAAAGGGCUUGCCCUAGAUCAAGCCUUCUUGAAUUUCUAGUUAAUCACGUGUAAAAGAGCUCUAAUUUCGUUGUGCUAACUUAAUCCAUUAGGCUCAUCGAUAAUGAAUCAGCUUGUAUAAGUUGAUAAAUUUCACAUUAUAGAGGUUUGAGGGGGAAAAGAAUCCUUUUGAAUUAUGUGAUGUUUACAAAGUGAAUUAAAUCUGCAGAUCAUGCACUAAACUAUCGACUAUGCGAAUUUAUUGACAACGACAGUAUAUGAAAAACAAGAUCAUAGUUUCUAUGUCAAUUUUGUGGACUUCGCUAUAUCUCUCCUUUUUUUUUUUUGGCCAAAAUGACAGGACCUCAUCGAACUGCAGAAACAUGAAGGAAUAUUAACAUCAGCAAAUCAACAAUAAUAUCACACUCAAAUAAGAGUUGGUAAUUCUUUUUUUUUCUUGGUCGAAAGAGUUGGUAAUUUAAAACUAGUUAAUCUAACAAAAGUUGAUAAGUAUUCUAAUGUAGGUUAGAUAAAAGCAUAGCAAUUAUCCCAGUUUUCUUUUUUUCCCUUUUCGAACAUUUGAUCCGACGCGUCCUAUGAUUCUUGCAGACCACCGUUUCAAGAGCUCAAGUGACAAUUAUAUCCACAAUCUUACAUGAGAUGUAAGUGGAAAGUAGAACACGAAGGAGUUGUGAGAUCAAGAGGAUGAAAAGUAUAAUAGAAACGAGAGCAAAUAAAACCACAGUUUGUUGUCGGUGACCGAAGAUAGAGAGGGAUUGCUUGAUUUUGGUUUAGGUUGGAGACCACACAUUUGAUCAAAUAAUGGGGACGUGAGUCCUUGAAUUGUCCGAAAUGCUUUAGCCGAAACGAUAGCUUACUCAUGUACAAUUCCCAUUUUCUGUCUCAAUCCACAUCAACUAAAAAAAGAAAUCCUAAUAAUAAUCACCCUUCUCUCUCCCUUCUGCCUCAGACCGUGCCUUCGUCCUCACGGCCGAUCGGGCUACCCCGUGCAUGCAUGUAAAAUCUCCUUGAGUGUGUCGAACCAGUCCCAACAAAAGAUGGUAUCCGAAACAACGCGUUCACUGGAAACUUCGAAAAAGAUGACCCCCAUUCAAAUUGGUUUAAUUUCCUGAGGAACGGGAAAAACGUUGGCUUCAAUUUUACCUAAAACGUCUCUUUGAAUUCUAACUCGGUGCUAGCUGCUUUUAUUAGUGCCCUAGUAAUAAGUUCGGCGGCCCUGAACCGGUUCGGAUGAAGAUUAACCCUAAUCUUCGAUGACCCAGGAACCUUGGGAGCAAGAGCAAAGGUGGUGGGAGAUGAAGAGUUCCAUAGUAUACUCGAUGCUUUGGUUGAGAGAUAAGUUCUUGGAUUGUUGAUAUCGGAUUUCGUGUCUUUGCUUGAAUAAUGAUCAGCGAAUAUUUGGAAAAUUACAUCUUUUCUUUCUCUAUUUUUUCCCUCUUAAGGGUUAGAGUGUUGCCUCCGCCCCCCUUUGGAAUGCUGAGUUGGAUUUUUCCUCAACCCAUUUUGUGACACCUCCUGCCAUGGAACAAGUAGGUCCUACUAAUUAACGUCAAGUCAAUACAUACAAUAUUCAAAUCUCUAGCAUACAUCGGAUGGGAGGGAUUGUGUCAAGUGAUAUAUGAAUCAACACCUAUUCUUAAAUGGUCACUAUCUUUUGUGGUUAUUUUUAGUACUUCAUUUGAGGGCGAAUUCACAUAGAACAGACUAAAUCAUUAUUGAAUUUGUUCCGUAUGCAAAUCACAACUUUUUUCUAAAUUAGGGCGAUUGUUAUUAUAGUACAAAGGGAGACUAACGUGACUUCAAAAUGAAAUUUGGGAAAGAAUAAGAGUAUAGGAAACUAGGAAUGAUUCAUUGCGGAACAAUGCACUUUCUUCAGCUUCAACAUCAAUAAAAAUAUGAUAAAAGAUGGUGUGAAUUCAAGUGCUAGAGACUUCAACGUGGGGUAAUCUACCAUUUCACUAUGGGACUAAUGGGGUUGCAUCCAUUAAUUUCUUUCAGGCCUAAGCUCUGAUAUGUAAAUUUUAAAUAUCUUGAAUGCUCUAAUGGCGAAAAGUAUUUGACGGUAGAUUAGGGGCGGAUAUUUAUCCACCUUUAAAUUGAAGUAUUUAUUCGAUUUUCUUUUUUUUUGUAGAGAUACUAUAGAAAAUCCAAUUCAUACAUCAAAAAAUGACUGAUCCUUUGAUUAAGUUGAUCAGCACUUGCUUCAGAUGCCAAAAUGAUUUUCGGGCGCACCCUUCUGAUUGAAUUGAAACUACAUACUAGCCUUAACCACGAGAAUCGAGUACGAAACGUACCACAUAAAGAAACCAUGCAAAGCCAAAAGAGAGACAUCAAGACCACACCCAACUACACGAAUUCCUCGUUUUACUUCAGUAGCUAUGGCGAUUACUUCUUGCGCAGGUUGCGGAAGUAGGACGC
rnacentral:lncRNA from 1 species